CCCCUGGUGGCUCAGGCGGUAAAGUAUCCGCCUGCAAUGCAGGAGACCCAGGUUCAAUCCCUGGGUUGGGGA
rnacentral:tRNA from 1 species